CACAAGACUGUGCGUUUUCAUCACUGCAGGAGCUGGCAGAAUUUUGUGACAAUCCUGGGAAAUGCUUUCAGAUGGCCCCUUCUGUGAAUUAUGAAUGUUUCACAAAGCUCUAUGGUUUCCAUGAGUGAAUUUGGUGUUAUGGCAAGAUUUGAAACUGUCUGACCUGUUAGGGGUGAAAACAACUUGCCUGGACUGUCUGCCUCUCACUGUGGGAGCAGCUAGCUCCUGGCUUAGAAGUUCUAGACAAGGUCCAAAGGCAGUUAACAGAGAACCCACAUCUUAACACAGGAGAUUCCAGGGAGUCACACAGAUGGCCCCCAUGGAGGGUCAAGCUGGACGAGGAAAAGGAGGUGAAAUAUGAGAGAAGUUGAGAGGAUGCACAACAGGAAGACAAGCUUUCAAGGAGCUUCAGCAUGUGCAUCUGCAUUUAGACCACAAAGAGCAACAGUGCUGGAAUUUCCACUCUCUGAGGUGUUUGAUCCAACCUUCCUUGAUGAAAGGAUGUUAGGUGCUCAAUAAAUGCUUCAUGAAGAAAUGAACCCAAUAACAUGCCAGGCUGGAUGCACACAGAGUGCCAAUGCAAGUGUUGAAGACCUGCUCCCCAACCCUACUUGGAUGAUCUGUUCUAGUCCUUUGGAAGCUUCUUCCUCUAACAGGAUACUGUUCUAGAGAUUAUCCCACUGCCCAGGGAUAAGACUCAAUAAAGAUGGUGAUAAAUUAGGAGAGGGGAGAUGAUGGAGGGACCUGUGGAAGAGGAAAGAGGACAACAGAAAAUGAGAAGACGAAAUCUAAAUGAGAGCACAUGAAUAUGGCAGGAGAUCUAUGAAUCAAGAGGACCUGCACUGAAUGUUCAUCUUGUCAAUGACCCAUAGUUAUGAAAGCCAACUGCACACAAAAAAAUAUACCUACAGGAAUCUUGCAAGCUGUAGAAAAAAACAUGGGAUGGUUAUUUUAGAAUAUGGACACAAAUUCUUUAUUUAAAGCAUUAAGUAAUGUUAAUCUAUUCAUUCUGCAAAUAUGUAUUAAAUGCUAGCCAUGGAUAUUACUAAACUAUGGAGAUUAUUAAAAAGAGCCUGGAAUCCC